ensembl:snRNA U2 U2 spliceosomal RNA
AUUACUUCUCAGCCUUUUGGCUAAGAUCAAUUGUAGUAUCUAUUCUUUUCACUUUAAUAUAAGAUACCCCUUCUGCCCCCUCUGCUCAAGGACAACAGAUUAAAUGGAAUUUUGGAGCAGGGGGUGGACUAGGAGCUUGCUCGGGCCACGGUACACAGUGACCUGGUAUUGCAGUACUUCCUGUGUCGUGAACUCCCC